GUCAAAACUUAAAGCUAAAUUUUUGACUGUGAAAUAGCCGACUAUGUUACUGGAGAAGAUGGUCUCAGUAUUAAUUCAUUUUGUGCGUGAUUUUAGUUUCGCGUCUUAUUUUGCAUUAUACGUAAAGCAUGAAAUAUGUAUCACAUUCAAAAAUUGAAAGUGAAAAAAUUAGCUAAACAUUGUAAAAAUAUACGAUACUUUUGUUUAAGAAAUAAAAUGUAGUUCUUUGGUUAUUUCUCGGAACCAAUAAAUAUUUUGAGUAAAUCUUAACAUACGUAAACAUUUUAAAUUCUUGAGUAAGUUUGAAACAAUCGAUGCAAAAGGGGAUUACAAUAUAUGAAAAUAAAUAUGAAGAUCUUCCCAUGUUCAAUACACUGAAUACUGAAGUAAAUGAAAACAUUGAAAUUUUUAAAAAGAUACCGAAAUAUGGAUAAUGAGCUCCAAAUAAAUUUUGUUAUAAAGGAAUGUAUAACAGAUAUAGAUAUUAAACAAGAACAGCCAAACACGUAUAUCUCUAGUAAAGAUAACAAAACAUCUGUACAAUCAAAUGAAACAUUAGAUAAGAAAGAUUUGUUAAUAGCAAGAUUACAAGGCAAAUUGCUAAAAGGAAAGAAUGUAUAUCGUAUUAUGAAAGUAUAGUACAGCUUAUGAAUUGUAAACUUAUGAAAUUGAAGAAAGUUCGGAAAACUCAUUAAUUGUUGAAAGAACUUGAUUUGUAACUUUGGUAAACAGAAUAUAGUUGUUCCUUAAAAUAUUAAAUAUAAAUAAAUAAAAUUUAUAU